rnacentral:rRNA from 1 species
UACGUAGGGUGCAAGCGUUGUUCGGAAUUACUGGGCGUAAAGCGUACGUAGGCGGCGGGUUAAGUCGAAUGUUAAAGCCUGGGGCUCAACCCCAGAGAUGCAUUCGAUACUGGCUCGCUAGAGGGUGAUAGAGGAAAGUGGAAUUCCCAGUGUAGCGGUGAAAUGCGUAGAUAUUGGGAGGAACAUCAGUAGCGAAGGCGACUUUCUGGGUCACACCUGACGCUGAGGUACGAUAGCGUGGGGAGCAAACGGG